rnacentral:tRNA from 1 species
GAAGGGGAAGGGGAAGGGGAAGCGUGGUGGGCUCAUAACCCACAAGUCUCAGGAUCGAAACCUGACUCUGACA